rnacentral:rRNA from 1 species
GAUGAACGCUGGCGGCGUGCCUAAUACAUGCAAGUCGAGCGAACAGACGAGGACCUUGCUCCUCAGACGUUAGCGGCGGACGGGUGUGUCACACGUGGAUAAUCUCCCUAUCAGACUGGGAUAACUUCGGGAAACCGGAGCUAAUCCCGGAUAAUAUAUUGAACCGCAUGGUUGAAUAGUGAAAGACGGUUUUGCUGUCACUUAUAGAUGUAUCCGCGUCGCAUUAGCUAGUUGGUAGGGUAACGGCUUACCAAGGCGCCGAUGCGUAGCCGACCUGAGAGGGUGAUCGGCGCCUGUGGAACUGAGACGCGACACAGAGUCCUAGGGGAGGCAGCAGUAGGGAAGCUUGGGAGAUGGGCGGAAUCCUGACGGAGCAACGCCGCGUGGGUGAUGAAGGUCUUCGGAUCGUAAGACUCUCUUAUUGGGGAAGAACAAAUGUGUAAGUGACUAUGCGCGUCUUGACGGUACCUAAUCAGAAAGCCACGGCUAACUACGUG